UACGAAGGGGGCUAGCGUUGCUCGGAAUCACUGGGCGUAAAGGGUGCGUAGGCGGGUCUUUAAGUCAGAGGUGAAAUCCUGGAGCUCAACUCCAGAACUGCCUUUGAUACUGAGGAUCUUGAGUACGGGAGAGGUGAGUGGAACUGCGAGUGUAGAGGUGAAAUUCGUAGAUAUUCGCAAGAACACCAGUGGCGAAGGCGGCUCACUGGCCCGUUACUGACGCUGAGGCACGAAAGCGUGGGGAGCAACAGG
rnacentral:rRNA from 1 species